rnacentral:lncRNA from 1 species
AAAUUUAUGCUGUGUGCAUCACUUGCAAAUCACCAAAAAAUGUCCCGCCAGCUGCUGCCGGACAGGGCCCGUUCUCCUCGUUGAUCUGACUGCCCUGAGUCUCCUGCUCUGCCCUGGCUCCUGCAGGCGUGCCUCCCAGCGGGUUAUUUAUUGUAGAAAGUGUACUCAUUUGCUUUAUAAUGAAAAAUAAAUUUGCAAAGGUAUAUUGAUAUGCAUUUUUAUACAGGCACAUAAAAAUUCAACUUGGUGUGGGAGCAGAAUGUGUUGCGAGGUUAUAUACACGACUGGCCUGUGUGUACUUUGAUUUUGUAACUUGUAAUCUUUUGUUUACAAUGAGGAGCUUUCUGUAACUUGUUUUCAUUUAGAACACUUUGGUAGCAAUAGACUUUGGAUACAUUUUGUAUGGUACAUGUGAUGUAUAUAGAAUUAGUCCUUUAUUUUUAUUUCUAAGAGGUAAAGCAUUAUGUUAGGGGAAAGGCAGGGUGGGUUUCCAAAUUUGCAUUUUUAUAUUAAAAAUAAAGUGAAGAUUUGGACAGUGUGGCCCUCUCAUUCCUGCAUCACUAGGAGGCUGGGUGAGCUGUAGCCUGAGGGACGUGAGGGACUCGGAGCACCGGGCCUGGAGUGGGUGGUGUGACACACUUGAUCUAACAGCUGACUCGGGAUGGCAUUAUUUAUUAUUUUGCCUAAUCAUAUUUUUAUUUUAAAGCUAAAUAGUUACUAAAAAUUUUAAAUGUUCUUUUAAAUCUACAUGUUUGUAAUAUCUCCAUAGAAACUUGAAAAUAAAAAGUCUUCCUUUGGU